UCUACGGGUGGCAGCAGUGAGGAAUAUUCGUCAAUGGGCGCGAGCCUGAACCAGCCAAGUAGCGUGAAGGAUGACUGCCCUACGGGUGGUAAACUUCUUUUAUAAAGGAAUAAAGUGAGGCACGUGUGCCUUUUUGUAUGUACUUUAUGAAUAAGGAUCGGCUAACGCCGUGCCAGCAGCCGCGGCAAUGCGGAGGAUCCGAGCGUUAGCCGGAUUUAGUGGGUUUAAAGGGAGCGUAGAUGGGUGGUUAAGGCAGUUGUGAAAGUUUGCGGCUCAAGCGUAAAAUUGCAAUUGAUACUGGCAGUCUUGAGUACAGUUGAGGUAGGCGGAAUUCGUGGUGUAGCGGUGAAAUGCUUAGAUAUAACGAAGAACUCCGAUUGCGAAGGCAGCUUACUAAACUGCCACUGACAUUGAUGCUCGAAAGUGUGGGUAUCAAACAGGAUUAGAUACCCUUGUAGUC
rnacentral:rRNA from 1 species